rnacentral:rRNA from 1 species
CGAACGCUGGCGGCACGCCUAACACAUGCAAGUCGAGCGCUACCUUCGGGUGGAGCGGCGGACGGGUUAGUAACGCGUGGGAACAUACCCUUUUCUACGGAAUAGCCUUUGGAAACGAAGAGUAAUACCGUAUACGCCCUUCGGGGGAAAGAUUUAUCGGUUAAGGAUUGGCCCGCGUUAGAUUAGAUAGUUGGUGGGGUAAUGGCCUACCAAGUCUACGAUCUAUAGCUGGUUUGAGAGGAUGAUCAGCAACACUGGGACUGAGACACGGCCCAGACUCCUACGGGAGGCAGCAGUGGGGAAUCUUAGACAAUGGGCGAAAGCCUGAUCUAGCGAUGCCGCGUGAGUGAAGAAGGCCCUAGGGUCGUAAAGCUCUUUCGCCAGGGAUGAUAAUGACAGUACCUGGUAAAGAAGUCCCGGCUAACUCC